GGUGAUGGGGGGAGAAAAGCAAUCAUUUUGAAUCCAUUUUGAGGAGCUGCAAGACAGAAGAGCAGGAGGGAGACUCUGGGAGGGAUCCCCGUAGGGUCAAAUUGGAGGUGGAUGUGCUUUGGGAGGCUGCGGGCAUCGAUGACAAAGAAGACUCCGAGGCCAAAGACGAGUGCAGCCACAAAGCCCCUCACCAGUGCCAUCACAAAAUUGGCCCAGGACUGCUCCACAGCACCUGUGGGAUCCAGGUGUUUGGGUGUCCCUAUUGCCAGCCACAAGCCCUAUGCAGACUGGAUGCAGAGACACAGCCACCCAUCCAUGACGGGGGGUAUGCAAAUGGGGGGCUCAGACCCACCUGAGGGUGCAGCUGUGGGUGUCACCUCCAGCAUCACGCUGUCCCCAAGGGGUGAGGACAUGAAGGCAUAGCGCCAGAGGCGGUAGGAGCACCUGUAUGUGCCACUGUCAGCUGGGGUCACCGCCAGGAAGGUAAAGUUUGCAGCACCUCCACCACUGGGGUCCUGGUGCUUGAUAGGGGGUGAGCUCCCAUCCUUGUGCAGGAGGAAGGCGGCCCCGUAGUCCUUGUUCCAGCAGCGGAUGGUGAUGUUGGUCCCCAUCUC